rnacentral:misc_RNA from 1 species
AACGCACAUUGCGCCCGCCAGUAUCCUGGCGGGCAUGCCUGUUCGAGCGUCAUUUCAACCCUCAGGCCCGGCCUGGUGUUGGGGCGCUGCGCCUCGCAGCCCCCGAAAGACAGCGGCGGUCCCGUCCCGGCACCGAGCGUAGUAGCACAUCUCGCUACGGGCGUCCGGACGGCGGCCGGCCGGAAAAUCUUUUUUUCUUUGGUUGACCUCGGAUCAGGUAGGAAUACCCGCUGAACUUAA